UUCAAUAUGGAGGAAAAUGGUAAUGAUUUUAUUACAACUCGGCUUUUUUGUAGUACGCAAAAUAAGAUAAAAAUAUGUCAUGAUGAUAAAAGCUGCCUUACACCUGUGGGAAGGUCAUGACCAAGUGAUGGUUUGGAUGCCUCAUGUGAUUGCAUGCUAGCUGGUGAUGGUGGACCGUGUCGCUCAGAGUGCCUCCUCCCGUAUCCCCGUGCCAGUCAGGGCCACAGGCCACACAUUGGCUAAUAAUAAGGUCAAACAGUUGACCAAAGAACAGCCCAAGCACAUAUUUCAGGAAAAUGGACUGGUGGACACACAUUCCAAGAUUGAAGAGAACAGCUCCAAAGACAACAACGCCAAGAAAGACAAAGGUUUUGAAACUUUUGUUAUGACUGGUGACAUGAUAAUUCGGACCACACAGAAAACCAGAGAUAAGGUCAACAGAAGCACAUCUGACAGUACAGACACCAGCGACACAGGUGAUCUGAGCGACAUAGGGAUACACACCAAUGCUGUUUUUAUAGAGGAGAAAGGUGUUCAAGAGUAUACAGAGGGCACCAGUCUCACUAAAGACAAUCAAAGGUCUGCCGAAUCUGGGUUUGAGGAUCAGGAUUCGGGAACAUUAGAAAGAGAUAGGAGUCAAGCCACAGAACCCAACAGUGUAUCAGACUUGUCUUUGAUAAGCUCUGAGGACUUAGCAGAAAUGACGAGGUCACAGUCUUCAGCUGCAAGUACAUCAGUUUCGUCUGUAUCAACGCCUUCUGAUAUAAAGUCUGACAUAUCUGAACAAACAGUGCUACAGUGUAUUGUGGGGAAAAAUGAGCAUUCUUCUGAGCAACUUAUUUCCCCAGAAACAGAAGCUAUCCGAGAUAGUGAUACCUAUAGUUCUUGUGAAAAUGUGAGGGAUUAUAAUGAAUCAGAAAAAGACACUGAUUAUUCGAAAAUGGUGACCAGUAAAAGUGCCGAAAAGUUUGUGCAAACAAAGGGUGGUGGUCAUCAGAGUGUACGUCCCAGUAAAAGUCAAGAGCUCCAAUCUGAAUUUUCUCUAGUGACCAUAGAUAUAGAGGAAGAUAAUAAGGCAUAUUCCUUGGAUCAAAUACCACAACAUGGCACAACCAAUUCAACAGCUUCCCUGGAAGGAAUUGGUGAAGGAGACGUCCUGUUAACCUCCAGAAGUCUUGAUAGUUCUCCAGAACACAAGGCAGAUAAGUGCCAUGACAAAGAAUUCAUACCAGGAUUUAUAACGUUGGUGGACGAGGCACACAUGAAGAAAGCCAAAACCAAAGAGGACAGUGAAAUGUUUGGUGAUGGUGCUGCAAACAAUAAUUGCCUAGAGGGCUCACAAAAUAAUGACAAUGUUGAGCGAGAUAAUGAAAAACCUCAAAGAUAUUCGCUAGACCCAUCCCUUGAUCCUAAUCUCUUAGAAUAUCAACCGCUUGCUAAGGGUGUUGAUCGACCAUCAGCUCAGCGGCUUGCCAAACGACUAUAUAACUUGGAUGGAUUCAAAAAAUCAGAUGUGUCAAGGCAUCUUAGUAAGAAAAAUGAUUUUGGUGCAUUAGUAUCGGAGGAGUACCUCAAGUUUUUCAGUUUUGAUAAGGAUACACUUGAUUUGGCUCUGAGAAAGUUCCUGCUACAGUUUUCUCUGAUAGGGGAGACACAAGAAAGGGAACGGGUGCUAGCUCACUUCUCCAAGCGAUACAUAGAAAGCAAUCAAGGCAUUUAUAAUUCUGAAGAUGCUUGUCAUACACUUACUUGUGCUAUUAUGUUACUGAACACAGACCUCCACGGUCAGAGUAUUGGUAGGAAGAUGACAUGUGCAGAGUUUAUAGAAAAUCUAGCAGAGCUCAACGAUGGUGACAACUUUCCGAAAGAACUUCUCAAAGUUAUCUACCAAAAUAUCAAGGCUGAACCCAUUGAGUGGGCAGCUGAUGAUGACCAUGAAGAGGACCACAGUCAGACAGAGGAUCGCUCAGCUGUAUCGUUAACAAACAUGUCAACACCAACCUUAAGUUUUAAUCCUUUCCUUGAUGUACCUGACCCAGACAAAGCCACUGAAUACAAAAACGGCUAUGUGAUGAGAAAGUGUUGCAUGGAAGCAGAUAGGAGAAGAACGCCACUGGGAAAGAGAGGAUGGAAGAUGUACUAUGUCUCUCUUCGUGAUUUGAUAUUCUACCUCUACAAGGACCAACAUGGGAUGAAGAAAGGGCAGCUCAUACAGGGCUCCAACAAUGCCAUACGCAUCCACCACUGCCUUGCCUCCAAGGCUAAUGACUACACAAAGAAACAGCAUGUCUUCAGACUGAACACUGCAGAUGGGGCAGAAUAUCUGUUUCAAACAAGUGACAGUCGUGAGCUCCAGGAAUGGAUCGACACCAUCAAUUUUGUGUCAGCCAGCCUUUCGUCCCCACAACUGCCAGGUGCUGUGGGCUCACAAAAGAAGUUCCAGCGACCAUUGUUACCGGCAACCUACACCAAAUUCAAUCUUCAUGACCAACUACAGCGCCACGAAGUCAUGUGUAACCAGGUAGAGAAUGAUCUCCAGGAUCAUCGCCAGUUUCCUCCGGAAAAGGGUGCCAAGUCCCGCCUUAUACAAGACUAUUUGGAGAAAGAAAGCUUCCUGGAGAGUGAGUUGAAGCGGUACAAGACGUACACAUACCUACUCCAGUCCCGUAUGACUGCCUACCCAGAGCUGGAGCCUUCCCUUGUCGAGACUGUCAUUGGGGAGGAUGAGGAAAAUGGACAGUCAGAUGAAGUCAAAGUCCAUCAGAAACGGCCAGUGCAGCGAUCCCUGUCUGAUAGGAGACAGGAUAUGUUGACAGUUGGUACCCUUGUCUGAGACUUGGUAUGAGAAAGAUUUUAUUACAAAAACUUUAUGCAUUGGUGUGAAAUCCUCUGCAUUUUCAAAAGUUUUUGAAAAAUAAUCUAGAACAGGGAGAGUGACCAGGAACAAAGCAAUGACCACAACAGCUAUAUCAAUCCAGAGUCGGCCAUCACUCACCUCUGAUUAGAGCAACCUUGGAUCGGAGACUGCCUUAGGGGCGAGCAACCUUGGAUCGGAGACUGCCUUAGGGGCGAAACUAGGAUGGUCAACCUUGGAUCGGAGACUGCCUUAGGGGCGAGACUAGGAUGGUCAACCUUGGAUCGGAGACUGCCUUAGGGGCGAGACUAGGAUGGUCAACCUUGGAUCGGAGACUGCCUUAGGGGCGAGACUAGGAUGGUCAACCUUGGAUCGGAGACUGCCUUAGGGGCGAGACUAGGAUGGUCAACCUUUUUUGUAUUACCUCUCAUGGUCAUUUAUCACUAUGCAACACAUCAUCAUGUCAUAUCCAAUCCUGGAAACAGAACUCGUCUGCCUUUGGCCUGGGAGUGAUGCUGAUUUUGGAAUAAUUUCGUCAUCAAUGACUUGAUGUUAUAUGACUUUAUAUGCUGUACACAAAAAUCGUUGUUAUUAAUUCAUAUACAUUGUAUAACACUUUAUUGACUUGAAUUUGUAUAAAAAGCAUACUUUAAAAUACAUCUAUGGAUUAUCAAGCAUGGCGAUGACUAAACCCUUAGGGAUCAGAAGUUCCAGUGAAGUUGGCAGUGCGUCUCAUUAAAUGUUUGCAGACACUUGAUUGUUAGUAUUAAUAUAGUAUUAUGUAUAAAUAUAUAUACAUGUACCGUGUAAGUGAUAUUUUUAUGAGUGCAAUUUUAAGUAUCUAAUACAUGUAUUAUGAUUGCUGCUAAGAUGUGUAAAUAUAUGCAUGGAUUAUAAUACAGUUCAGAAACCAUAAUUAUAAAAUUAAUUUUCUAGUUCUAGAUCAAGAUUUUGGAUUAUUUAUUACAUGCUAUGAUAAAGCCAUUUAAAAUUUGUAAUAAUUGAUACCUGUUCUUCCUCUUACUGAUCUCCUGUGGUGUAGACGUGUGUAGCUGGCUAGGAUACUCCCAUUAUUUAGCAAGCAUGGGCUGCUGUGCAAUAGAUAGCCUUGUUAUUGUUUAAUGUUGCUUGUUGCAUGUGUAAUCAGAAUUUUUAUGUAAAUACUUUUUGUACAUAGCUACUUUUGCAGAAUUUUGUUUAUUGUAUUUAACAACUAUUAAAAGUUGUGUGUACAUUAUUGAAGAGCAUACCUUUGUUAUAAAUUAUAAUACAAUUUGUGACUUUUUGGGUUAACAUUGAAAUCUCAUCACUUGUUAACUCAAGAAAUAUAUUUUACCAAAAAUUUUUAACUUCAUACCAACAAAACACAUUUAAGACAAUUAUCCUCAAAAUUGAACAUGCUUAGUUAACUUUUUUACUCCAGAGCUGCCCAGGAGCAAAGUGAUUGAUUAUUGUAAAGUGUUUUAGGUUAGCUAGUAACAGAAUAUCAUAACCUUAAUAAAUCAUUGUGUACAAAUGGCUUUCCUAUGAUGAAAAUAUAUAACUUAGGCAAUGUUUUUAAUUUUUCUAACCAAAUGUCUUCAUGAUUACAGAAAUUCACAAAGUAUUUAACUAUUCUUUAAUAAUAAAAUGAAUUUUUACCACA